rnacentral:tRNA from 1 species
GGAGGGAUGGCCGAGUCUGGCUUAAGGCGGCGGUCUUGAAAACCGUUGUAGGGUAGCCCCCUACCGUGGGUUCGAAUCCUACUCCCUCCGCCA